GUGCUUGCCUCGGCAACACGUACACCAAAAUUGGAAUGAUACAGAGAGGGUUACCAUGGCCCUGCAUCAGGAUGACGUACAAAAUCAUGAAGCGUUCCAUUAAAAA